CCUACGGGUGGCAGCAGUGGGGAAUAUUGGGCAAUGGGCGCAAGCCUGACCCAGCAACGCCGCGUGAAGGAAGAAGGCUUUCGGGUUGUAAACUUCUUUUCUGAGGGACGAAGGAAGUGACGGUACCUCAGGUAUAAGCCACGGCUAACUACGUGCCAGCAGCCGCGGUAAUACGUAGGUGGCAAGCGUUAUCCGGAUUUAUUGGGUGUAAAGGGCGUGUAGGCGGGAAAGCAAGUCAGAUGUGAAAACUCAGGGCUCAACCCUGAGCCUGCAUUUGAGACUGUUUUGCUUGAGUGCUGGAGAGGGGAGUGGAAUUCCGUGUGUAGCGGUGAAAUGCGUAGAUAUACGGAGGAACACCAGUGGCGAAGGCGGAUUGCUGGACAGUAACUGACGCUGAGGCGCGAAAGCGUGGGGAGCAAACAGGAUUAGAUACCCUUGUAGUC
rnacentral:rRNA from 1 species